GACGAACCAAUGGUUCUUUAUUUUGAUUUUCAGAUCUUUAUAUUUUAUUGAUACCAGAACUUACAAAAAUUAAAAAAAUUUCAUUUCAUGAUUCUUGCAUUAGUCAGCGAGCAGCGCGUUUGCUCAUGAAAUAGGGUUGUGGUGUAUGGCAAUUGAUUUUUUUUCUCUCACACAAACUUUUGUACAUUAUGGCCUUUGGGAUUAACGAUUAAUUGUUUAAAUACUGCUGAGGAUUAAUUUUUUUUUUUUCAAGUUCUAGAUUUAAAAUUAAAUUUUUUUCUAAUUUAAUUUUAAUGUUGAGUAAAUUUAGUUUAUUGGAAAGUUCAAUUGUUAAAAUUUAUCACUCGUAAAUUACUGAUGGGAGUUCUAUUUUGGGGUGUCGAAGAGUUUAUUAACCGAUGUCAAGAAUUUUACUGUCAUAAUUUUACUGUGCAUGACAGUAAAAUUCCCUCACGUCAGCCACCGGGUGGAGAACGUUCUGGAGGAUCUUAUACUUUUGUAUAGUGGAGGUGGGUGGGCGAUAGAUAUAUAAGGAGCCCUCCCGUCAGCUGCAGUACGACUGCGAGACUCGCCUCUUCCCGAGAAGGCUUUCCAGCAAGCGGAUCACCCCGUCACUCUUGGCCGGACGACCCCCCUUGCCCCAAGCCUGGUCUCGCAGAGCCCCAGCCAGGGACCGCCGAUCAAUUUGAAAUUGAAAAAAUUGAGCUGCCCAAGUCCUGACCACCCCAGUUGGUGAGAUAUCCACCCUCUAGUUUCCCCGAGUUUUGCCUGUAGGACAAACAGGUUCCCAAUCUGGCGGCUGACCCAAGAGCUGCUACCCGUUCGACACCCCCAGCGAAUUGCCAGGCCAUCUUGUGACCGACCGCCAGUACUCUCCGGGGACCAGACCGUCACUGCCGCAGGCCUUCUUCUUGUCCAGCAUCAUCCGAGCUACAACCUCGAGAGAGCAUCCCACCAGCCCCCCGCCUUCCAUCAGUGUAUUUUUUCCCAUUUAAUUAAAAAGAAUAUUCCGCGAGUAGAGUUGUAACCUUAUAGGGAAUAUAACCCAG